GCUGGGCGUGGUGGCGGGUGCCUGUAAUCCCAGCUACUCGGGAGGCUGAGGCAAGAGAAUUGCUUGAACCCGGGAGGCAGAGGUUGCAGUGAGCCAAGAUUGCACCAUUGCACUCCAGCCUAGGUGACNNNNNNNNNNAGCCUGGGAAGUGAGGCUAGCUACAAUGAGCCUAGAUUGCCCCACUGCACUCCAGCCUGGGUGACAGAGCGAGACCUUGUCUCUC
rnacentral:SRP_RNA from 1 species